rnacentral:rRNA from 1 species
AUCGAACGCUGGCGGCAUGCCUUACACAUGCAAGUCGAACGGUAACAGAUCUUCGGAUGCUGACGAGUGGCGAACGGGUGAGUAAUACAUCGGAACGUGCCUAGUAGUGGGGGAUAACUACUCGAAAGAGUGGCUAAUACCGCAUGAGAUCUACGGAUGAAAGCAGGGGAUCGCAAGACCUUGUGCUACUAGAGCGGCCGAUGGCAGAUUAGGUAGUUGGUGGGAUAAAAGCUUACCAAGCCGACGAUCUGUAGCUGGUCUGAGAGGACGAUCAGCCACACUGGGACUGAGACACGGCCCAGACUCCUACGGGAGGCAGCAGUUGGGGAAUUUUGGACAAUGGGCGCAAGCCUGAUCCAGCAAUGCCGCGUGCAGGAUGAAGGCCUUCGGGUUGUAAACUGCUUUUGUACGGAACGAAAAGCCCUGGGUUAAUACCCUGGGGUCAUGACGGUACCGUAAGAAUAAGCACCGGCUAACUACGUGCCAGCCGCCGCAGUAAGAC